GGAAAAAUAAAUUUCUGAUUCCUAUAUAGGAUUGUCUACUGUAGCUCUAUAGAGGAAUGACAGGAAGUACCUGGAGACAGUAAAUUGCACAACUAUAUUUUUGACCUAAUCGGUAAAGAAUAAAAUACAAGAUAUGUUGAGGAGUUUUAUUUCUGAACCAAGCAAAAACACUCAUCAUAACACAAUAUUUAUUGUUAGGUUUUACCCACUUUGGUAAAAUGUUACUAUCCCAGAGGAGAGCUGCAAAAUAAAGGUUAAGUUUACCAAGACGUAAAGACAAUAAUUAAAAGCUCUUCAUACAUGUUUUUGAACAUAUAGUCCAGUGCUUUCAGAACAACAAAGGGAAGUAUGGAAAAUUAAUUGCACAAUCAAUAGGUUCUGAUUUUUCACAUUACCUUCAGAAAAGAGUGUUAUCCCAUCAGAGUACAUUUACUGAUGCUCAGUGUUUCUACAGAUCAACCUAUUGAUAUUAUUCAGUUAUAUUCAGACUUUUGUAGCUGCCAGUGGUGAAGCAUCUACCUGACAGGAUGAUUCAGACUUCUUCCUUUAGAAAUCCCAGCCGUCACACAGUCAGUGGGUUAAAUGCCUCACAGAGGAAAUAAAGAAUACCUAAGAGGGAUGCCUUUCUUUUUCCACUGGCAGGACAGCAAGUGUCUUUGGGUACACUACACCAUGGUGUUUGUUAGAACAGUUCAUGUACCUGUGCAGAACAGCCAUCUUCAUCUCUUGACCUUCGGAGCACUGAAUUCACUUUUGAUCGCAACAAGCUAAUGAAGGAUGUCCCUUUUUAUGCACAUUAGGGAAUGUGAACAGAAAGAGACUCUAAGACUUUCCUUUGUUUAUAUCUCCUACAGGGAUGCCUCCACCUCAGAGAGCUGUAUGUCAAAAAAAAAAAAAAAAGGUCAUUUUUCCUCUUCAGUCUGGAUCAUAGCACAGAAAAAGAUUGAAAUAUUAGACUCAAUCACAGAAAACAGUAAGAAGAGUUAUCAAAUGGUAUCAUUUUCCUUGUGUGUUCAUGCAAGAUUUCACUUCUUCACAAGAGCUGUAAAAGAAAAGAAUUUUAUUGGGCCUUGAAUAGAUGUGUUUGAUGCUUAUAAAGAAAACUGACCUCAGUGGAAAGAUGUCCUUUGGCUAUAUUUUAUCAUUAGAAUUCUAC
ensembl:lncRNA